rnacentral:rRNA from 1 species
AUUGAACGCUGGCGGCAGGCCUAACACAUGCAAGUCGAGCGGAUGAAGGGAGCUUGCUCCUGGAUUCAGCGGCGGACGGGUGAGUAAUGCCUAGGAAUCUGCCUGGUAGUGGGGGAUAACGUCCGGAAACGGGCGCUAAUACCGCAUACGUCCUGAGGGAGAAAGUGGGGGAUCUUCGGACCUCACGCUAUCAGAUGAGCCUAGGUCGGAUUAGCUAGUUGGUGGGGUAAAGGCCUACCAAGGCGACGAUCCGUAACUGGUCUGAGUGGAUGAUCAGUCACACUGGACCUGAGACACGGUCCAGACUCCUACGGGAGGCAGCAGUGGGGAAUAUUGGACAAUGGGCGAAAGCCUGAUCCAGCCAUGCCGCGUGUGUGAAGAAGGUCUUCGGAUUGUAAAGCACUUUAAGUUGGGAGGAAGGGCAGUAAGUUAAUACCUUGCUGUUUGGACGUUACCAACAGAAUAAGCACCGGCUAACUUCGU